rnacentral:tRNA from 1 species
GGCGAAAUAGCUCAACGGUAGAGCUAAUGAAUCAUAAUCAUUCGGUUGUGGGUUCAAAUCCCUCUUUCGUCA